UACGUAGGGCGCAAGCGUUAUCCGGAAUUAUUGGGCGUAAAGAGCUCGUAGGCGGUUUGUCGCGUCUGCCGUGAAAGUCCGGGGCUCAACUCCGGAUCUGCGGUGGGUACGGGCAGACUAGAGUGAUGUAGGGGAGACUGGAAUUCCUGGUGUAGCGGUGAAACGCGCAGAUAUCAGGAGGAACACCGGUGGCGAAGGCGGGUCUCUGGGCCGAUACUGACGCUGAGGAGCGAAAGCGUGGGGAGCGAACAGG
rnacentral:rRNA from 1 species